rnacentral:rRNA from 1 species
GACGAACGCUGGCGGCGUGCUUAACACAUGCAAGUCGAACGAAGUGGCGAACGGGUGAGUAUUACGUGUGUAACCUGCCCUCCUUUUUGGGAUAAGCCUUGGAAACGGGGUUUAAUACCGAAUAAAGGGGGAUGGGCUAGCGGCCUAUCAGCUUGUUGGUGGGGUGUUGGCAUACGAAGGCGGUGACGGGUAGCCGGCCUGAGAGGGUGACCCGCCACAUUGGGACUGAGAUACGGGCCAUACUGCUACGGGGGGCAGCAGUGAGGAAUCGUGCGCAGUAUGGGAAACCCUGAUGGAGCAACGCCGCGUGCGUGAGGACUGCCUUCGGGUUGUAAACCGCUUUCAGCCAUGACGCGGUACUGGCAGAAUAAGCACCGGCUAACUACGUGCCAGCAGCCGCGGUAAUUC